rnacentral:lncRNA from 1 species
AUGCGGUCCCCCGGUUCUCCCACGCGCCGCGGCCUCGCUCCUCGCGGGAGGGCCUCGAUCAUCCCGGCAGCGCCUGGACCGACCCCAGUUCCCCGGACCCACCGCCGGAAUCCCCCAAAACCGCCCCGAUCCCUCCGCGCCUUCCCCGCCCUCUCCCCUCAGGACCCUCUCGGGGGGACCCCGGUGGGCCGGGGAGCCGCUCGGGACGCCCCCGGUGACCCCCGGUGUCCCCCCAGCCGUGAACUGCCUGGCCUACGACGAGUGACUAUGGCGCAGCAGGACUGGAUCCAGCAGGAGUGCAGAACCCGCUGGUCUCGGAGCGCCUGGAGCUCUACAGGGAGUACGCCGAGGAUGACCACGUGUACCAGGAGAAGAUCAAGGAUCCACUGCAGAAAUAUUCCUACAUCUGCAAGAGGCGGCUGGACGGGAACUGCUUCUACUGCACCUGAAGGUACUGCUGGGGGACAGGCAAGAGCUGCAGCGGUGCGGACCCCCAGGGACCCCCAGAAACAGCCCCAGGGACCCCGAAGAAACACCCCCAGAGACCUCCCAAAAACAGCCCCGGAGACCCCCAAAAUACUCCCAGAGACCCCCAAAAAUACUCCCAGAGACCUCCAGAAACACCCCAGGGACCCCAAAAAUACCCCCAGGGACCCAAAAACACUCUGAGAGCCCCAAAACUCCCAGAGAGCGCCCAAAACACCCAGAGACUCCCUAAAGUCCCUAGAGACACCCCUCCACCCCCCAACUACCCGGAGACCUCCCCCAAAAGCCCCAGCC